GGGUUGUGAGGUUAAGCGACUAAGCGUACACGGUGGAUGCCCUGGCAGUCAGAGGCGAUGAAGGGCGUGCUAAUCUGCGAUAAGCGCCGGUAAGGUGAUAUGAACCGUUAUAACCGGCGAUACCCGAAUGGGGAAACCCAGUGUGAUUCGUCACACUAUCAUUAACUGAAUCCAUAGGUUAAUGAGGCGAACCGGGGGAACUGAAACAUCUAAGUACCCCGAGGAAAAGAAAUCAACCGAGAUUCCCCCAGUAGCGGCGAGCGAACGGGGAGGAGCCCAGAGCCUGAAUCAGCAUGUGUGUUAGUGGAAGCGUCUGGAAAGGCGCGCGAUACAGGGUGACAGCCCCGUACACAAAAGCGCAUGUGUUGUGAGCUCGAUGAGUAGGGCGGGACACGUGGUAUCCUGUCUGAAUAUGGGGGGACCAUCCUCCAAGGCUAAAUACUCCUGACUGACCGAUAGUGAACCAGUACCGUGAGGGAAAGGCGAAAAGAACCCCGGCGAGGGGAGUGAAAAAGAACCUGAAACCGUGUACGUACAAGCAGUGGGAGCACAGGUUUACCUGUGUGACUGCGUACCUUUUGUAUAAUGGGUCAGCGACUUAUAUUCUGUAGCAAGGUUAACCGCAUAGGGGAGCCGGAGGGAAACCGAGUCUUAAUUGGGCGUUAAGUUGCAGGGUAUAGACCCGAAACCCGGUGAUCUAGCCAUGGGCAGGUUGAAGGUUGGGUAACACUAACUGGAGGACCGAACCGACUAAUGUUGAAAAAUUAGCGGAUGACCUGUGGCUGGGGGUGAAAGGCCAAUCAAACCGGGAGAUAGCUGGUUCUCCCCGAAAGCUAUUUAGGUAGCGCCUCGUGAAUUCAUCUCCGGGGGUAGAGCACUGUUUCGGCUAGGGGGCCAUCCCGGCUUACCAACCCGAUGCAAACUGCGAAUACCGGAGAAUGUUAUCACGGGAGACACACGGCGGGUGCUAACGUCCGUCGUGAAGAGGGAAACAACCCAGACCGCCAGCUAAGGUCCCAAAGUCAUGGUUAAGUGGGAAACGAUGUGGGAAGGCCCAGACAGCCAGGAUGUUGGCUUAGAAGCAGCCAUCAUUUAAAGAAAGCGUAAUAGCUCACUGGUCGAGUCGGCCUGCGCGGAAGAUGUAACGGGGCUAAACCAUGCACCGAAGCUGCGGCAGCGACGCUGAUGCGUUGUUGGGUAGGGGGAGCGUUCUGUAAGCCUGCGAAGGUGGCCUGUGAGGGUUGCUGGAGGUAUCAGAAGUGCGAAUGCUGACAUAAGUAACGAUAAAGCGGGUGAAAAGCCCGCUCGCCGGAAGACCAAGGGUUCCUGUCCAACGUUAAUCGGGGCAGGGUGAGUCGACCCCUAAGGCGAGGCCGAAAGGCGUAGUCGAUGGGAAACGGGUUAAUAUUCCCGUACUUGGUGUUACUGCGAAGGGGGGACGGAGAAGGCUAUGUUGGCCGGGCGACGGUUGUCCCGGUUUAAGCGUGUAGGUGUGUGUUCCAGGUAAAUCCGGUUCACUUUAACACUGAGGCGUGAUGACGAGGCACUACGGUGCUGAAGCAACAAAUGCCCUGCUUCCAGGAAAAGCCUCUAAGCAUCAGGUAACAUCAAAUCGUACCCCAAACCGACACAGGUGGUCAGGUAGAGAAUACCAAGGCGCUUGAGAGAACUCGGGUGAAGGAACUAGGCAAAAUGGUGCCGUAACUUCGGGAGAAGGCACGCUGACACGUAGGUGAAGUGAUUUACUCAUGGAGCUGAAGUCAGUCGAAGAUACCAGCUGGCUGCAACUGUUUAUUAAAAACACAGCACUGUGCAAACACGAAAGUGGACGUAUACGGUGUGACGCCUGCCCGGUGCCGGAAGGUUAAUUGAUGGGGUCAGCGCAAGCGAAGCUCCUGAUCGAAGCCCCGGUAAACGGCGGCCGUAACUAUAACGGUCCUAAGGUAGCGAAAUUCCUUGUCGGGUAAGUUCCGACCUGCACGAAUGGCGUAAUGAUGGCCAGGCUGUCUCCACCCGAGACUCAGUGAAAUUGAACUCGCUGUGAAGAUGCAGUGUACCCGCGGCAAGACGGAAAGACCCCGUGAACCUUUACUAUAGCUUGACACUGAACAUUGAGCCUUGAUGUGUAGGAUAGGUGGGAGGCUUUGAAGUGUGGACGCCAGUCUGCAUGGAGCCGACCUUGAAAUACCACCCUUUAAUGUUUGAUGUUCUAACGUGGACCCGUUACCCGGGUUGCGGACAGUGUCUGGUGGGUAGUUUGACUGGGGCGGUCUCCUCCUAAAGAGUAACGGAGGAGCACGAAGGUUGGCUAAUCCUGGUCGGACAUCAGGAGGUUAGUGCAAUGGCAUAAGCCAGCUUGACUGCGAGCGUGACGGCGCGAGCAGGUGCGAAAGCAGGUCAUAGUGAUCCGGUGGUUCUGAAUGGAAGGGCCAUCGCUCAACGGAUAAAAGGUACUCCGGGGAUAACAGGCUGAUACCGCCCAAGAGUUCAUAUCGACGGCGGUGUUUGGCACCUCGAUGUCGGCUCAUCACAUCCUGGGGCUGAAGUAGGUCCCAAGGGUAUGGCUGUUCGCCAUUUAAAGUGGUACGCGAGCUGGGUUUAGAACGUCGUGAGACAGUUCGGUCCCUAUCUGCCGUGGGCGCUGGAGAACUGAGGGGGGCUGCUCCUAGUACGAGAGGACCGGAGUGGACGCAUCACUGGUGUUCGGGUUGUCAUGCCAAUGGCACUGCCCGGUAGCUAAAUGCGGAAGAGAUAAGUGCUGAAAGCAUCUAAGCACGAAACUUGCCCCGAGAUGAGUUCUCCCUGAGACUUAGAGUCUCCUGAAGGAACGUUGAAGACGACGACGUUGAUAGGCCGGGUGUGUAAGCGCAGCGAUGCGUUGAGCUAACCGGUACUAAUGAACCGUGAGGCUUAACCUUACAACGCCGAAG
rnacentral:rRNA from 1 species